rnacentral:tRNA from 1 species
GGAUUAUAGUUUAAAAAUUUAAAAUAUUUUAAUUGCAAUAAAAAGAUGUUAAAAACUAGUCUGA